GCCAGACUCCUACGGGAGGCAGCAGUGAGGAAUAUUGGUCAAUGGCCGGAAGGCUGAACCAGCCAAGCCGCGUGAGGGAUGAAGGUACAGAGUAUCGUAAACCUCUUUUGUCAGGGAACAAAGGCGGGGACGUGUCCCCGGAUGAGUGUACCUGAAGAAAAAGCAUCGGCUAACUCCGUGCCAGCAGCCGCGGUAAUACGGAGGAUGCGAGCGUUAUCCGGAUUUAUUGGGUUUAAAGGGUGCGCAGGCGGUCUGUUAAGUCAGCGGUCAAAGCCCGGGGCUCAACCUCGUACUGCCGUUGAAACUGCAUCCCUUGAGUGCGCGAGAAGUAUGCGGAAUGCGUGGUGUAGCGGUGAAAUGCAUAGAUAUCACGCAGAACUCCGAUUGCGAUGGCAGCAUACCGGCGCGCAACUGACGCUCAUGCACGAAAGCGUGGGUAUCGAACAGGAUUAGAUACCCGAGUAGU
rnacentral:rRNA from 1 species